GCAGCAUCUCUCUAGCAUAAACAAACUGCCCGAGGGAAGCCAAGGUGUAUGCAAUGGCGACAACGAGGAGAAAUCCUUCAGUGUGAGCAGAUGGCUAACAAACUGAGCAAGCUGAACCAUCUCAGCCUUCAGAGCCGGUGGGAGCUCCGAAGUCUGCUCCAGCAGCACAGGCCUGAAGCACGCGAGAUCACACGGCAGGGACACACAGUCUGGAGUAGGGGUUUGGCCACCAACCUUAUGAGGCUCUUAUGAAGACUACAGAGAAUGUGACUCGGUACUAAGCGGAUCACAGUUGCUUUGGUUUCUACUGCUCUCUGGGGAAGGCCAGAGAAUCUUCUAACUGGUCAAAAGCAACAAGUUGGAGCUGGAUAAAAAUAAUAAAAAAGUCCAGGACUGUGGCUUUUCACCCUAAGGAAUAAAACUCUAAGAAGAAUAAAGAGAAACAAAAAUGUUGAGAAAUAUUAAUAGUAGGGUUGCUUUGGAGUCCUUUUGGUUACAUGGGAACUUGAGGAUGGUUUUGCCUUUCUGUGAAGAAUGUUAUAAGUGUCUUGAUAGCAUUGCAUUGACUCUGUAAAUAGCUUUUGGUGGUGCACAGCCCCAACUGAUAAAUCUACAACACAACUCCUAGAGCUAAGGCUCAGAAACAUCACAAAAGAGAGAUCAGAAAGAUUGUAAGAACCAGAAGACCAGGACAUCUGCUAUGAGACGGUAAUUUCUAUAUAUAAAGAGGAAGCUGCACCCACAAAAUCUCAACAAUAUGGUCUCCUAAACAAUAUCACAAUAGCAUCAUCAGUUAACAAGCCAACACAAAUGAAGAAAAUCUCAUGGGUUCCCAUCCCUAGAUGAAGAGCUACAGAUAAUUAAUGACUGCUGAAAGAAAGAAGAUGCACCCCUAAAUGAUUAUCCAAGUGGUCAGCCCUAUAUAUAUAAGCAUCACUAAAUGGCUCCCCAGUUUGUGUGUGUGUGUGUGUGUGUGUGUGUGUGUGUGUGUGUGUGUAUGUGUGUGUAAUACAAUAAAAAUCAAAGAAACAGAGACUAAGAAUUUGAGAGUGAACAGGGGAGGGGUGAUAUAUAAGGAAUUGGAGGAGGGGAGGGAGCAAAAAUGAUGUAGACACAGUAUACUUGUAUGAAAUUAUUAAAAUAAACUUAAUUUUAAUGGAAUCCUGAUGCUAGUGAGGAGCCCAGCGUAUUGAGCUCUGGGCCUGCUUUCCCAGUGUGCUUUGUGUUCGGUUACCCGACAGGGUCCAGGCGCAGCCAGGAAGUAUGAGCGCUGGUUUGUUCUCGAGUGUCACAUUAACAGGAGCUAGCACUGGCCAGUUAGCCUGCCUGCCUUGUGCAUCCAUCCUCAGUGCCAAGACUGUGAACAGAACGCCUGAGGACUCACAUUUAUCACUCCAUAAAAGGGAAGGGGACUCACACCAGGGAGCAUAUACUAAGCAAGAGAGAAUUUGGUUGCCUAAGGACAUUGUGGCUGCUGGAUGAGCUGUGGCCUGAUCUUUACUGCAAAGCAUGAGAAAACAAAUCCCUCCCCUGUUCGGUCCAUGUCUUUGGUCUUUUCUGGCUACAUGAAGUUAAAUUCUGUGUAUAAGCAACAAACUGUUAAACUGGAAUUGCAAAAUAAAAUAUUAAACUAAAUCAAGCCAAAAAAAGAAAGAAAGAAAGAAUUCUGAAAAACAAAUACUGAAAAAAUAAUAAAUCCAAAAAUAACAAAACACACAAAGACUAAAAAGCCAAAUCUAAAAAGUUCAGGAGCCUUGGAUAAAUACACAUGAUGGCUACUAAAAUUUCAGUAUUAUGAAAGGCGACAGUAAAAUAAUGUCCCUGAAUGUGGUUGCUGAGUAACAAAGGCAUGUUCUUUCGUCCAGAAUUAAGGCACCAAAGCGAAAAGCAAAGAGAGACUUUUAGAGGACUCGAAUAAGUCUACAGCUUGGGUAGAGACUUAAACAACAGCAUUUGGGAGAGAAAGCAGGAGGCAUAGGAGAGCUGAAGAGCCAACCUUGGGAGCUGAAGCAGAGAGCCCUUGGGGUUAAAGUCAUCUCAAGUGGAAGGAGGAAAGGGCUCCCUUGCAGGCUCCUGUGAAGCUGGGCAGCUCCAUGGCCAGCCAGACCUGGAGCACGUAUUCACUGAGCAGCUAUGAAUCUGCUCAAAACUUUCUGGGAGAAACAGUAAUAUGAUGGUUUGGAAUUACAGCAAGGACUGGCUGUUUGAGAAAUACGAUAAGAUUAGAACAUAAGACACUAUCUUGUAUCAAAACAGAAUUCCUACCUACAAAUGGCUUUGGGUCUUAAGAAAAAGUAUAUUGUAAAAAUUGGGUUUUUCCCACCUCUUUCAUUUCUGAAACUACUUUAAGAUGCCAUGUGCUUAUUAUGAAUGUCUCCUGCAAAAGUAGGCUGCAUGAAGAACGCAAAACAAUUUGCAAACAUAAUCUAAAAAGCAGUAUUAAUCGAACAAAGGGCAUCAAAUACUGCAACCUGAAGAAUUAAAAUAAAAUAUCAGCUCUUCUGAUCACACAGACAUUUUAUAUUUCAUUUAUUUUAUGCAUUAAAAUGCUCAACUGUUAAUUCUGUGACGUUAAAA